UACGGAGGGUGCAAGCGUUAUCCGGAUUCACUGGGUUUAAAGGGAGCGUAGGUGGCUUUGUAAGUCAGUGGUGAAAUAUUGCGGCUUAACCGCAAAACUGCCAUUGAUACUGCUUAGCUUGAAUCACGUCGAGGUGGAUGGAAUAAUACAUGUAGCGGUGAAAAUGCUUAGAUAUGUAUUAGAACACCGAUUGCGAAAGGCAGUUCACUAGGCGUGUAUUGACACUGAGGCUCGAAAGCGUGGGGAUCAAACAGG
rnacentral:rRNA from 1 species